UUUUUUUUACAAACAAAGUCAAACAAACACAAGUUCACACAACACAUUGGAUUUAUCGUAUUUGUGACUUGUGAUAUGUUAGAUGGAUUCUAAACUACAUAAUAAUAAUCCUAAACAGCAGUUUUUUUUAAUGUGUUUCAAACGAAGGACGAAUUGUACAGACAUUUUAAUUAAAACUGACUUUAAAUUGUCAAUAAAUUCCUUUGUCACACUGACGAGCUACGGCCAUGAGCUACGGUGACUCAAAUAAGCUACUGACACCGGAGGUAGAUUGACAACAAUAAGGCUACAAAUAAUCAUGUCCGUGGAAAAGUUGCGAGAGUUUUAAGAUCCAUAACUACUUUCUGAUGUUUGCUGAUUUUCUUAUGGAUGAAGAUACUAUGAGACGCCUUUUUGUCAUGGUGCACUUCGCAGUGAAAACAGUCAAGCAAGUAAAAUAACAAGAUUAGUCCAUUAAUUAAGAAUGAUUUACGAGUUUUUAUUACAAUUCAUGUUGUUAGUUUUUAUUCUGUAAUUUUAGUUACAUUAUUUUUUUAAAAUGUUUCUGCCGCUUUUGUUAUAUUGUAUUGUAUUAUCUUUUUUUUUUAUAACUUUGUUGAUUCUAUUAGCUAGGAAUAAUAAGUCUUUAGGAAAACAUCGGGGUCGAAAGCUAAGUGUAGACCUGGAGCAACAAAGACAAGUUUUCCAAAAAUAUAAAAGUAGGAUAGGAAAUUUUGUACCUCCCAAUAAUAAAGAAAACCGCGCUUUAUACUCCGAUCUUCAAGAUGCUUUUAAGUAUCGUUUGUCGUGCAAAGCAAUUUAUUGUUCGUUAAAAAAAAACUAUAAUUACUUCUUUGAUAAUGAUGUUAACAAACCUCUUUCUCAAGUUUCUCAAUUUUCUGACUCAGAAUCAAGAUCAGAUAACUUAAGCACAGUACUAAAUCAAAAUGAAGACGAUAGUGAUUAUACAAACCAGACUGAUGCAUAUGAAUCUUUUAACUUUUAUGUUGACUCACAUUUUUGGAAAAAGAUUGAACCUAUAAUAUAUAUAACGAAACGAUCAGAUUCCUCUGGCAGCUUAUUUCAAAGGCGACGAUCGCUACAAAAAAAUAAAUGGACGGAUUUUGUUAGAGAAAUCAUAUGGAAAAAUACAAAAUUAAAUUGCUUUUGGGUGUUUAAAUCCAAUAUUGUAAAACAGGUAAUAGAUAAAACAGUUGUUGUUUGCAAAGGUCGUUGUAAUUAUAGUGAGUGUAAAGCUAAAAUUGAAAUAAUCAUGAAAAAUAAGACAGAAAAUUUUACAGAAAUGCAAUGUAGGGUAAUUGCGCCGGUUUUCCGUCCAGCUCCUGUUUUCGUCCAUUUGACCGACUUGCCACAAACAAAUACGGAAAAUUAGAAUACAAACCUAGCUUUCCGUGCAAGUUUGGACUUGUUACAAUCUAUAAUAUCUAAGUAACAGUUCUGCCUGCAUGAAAAUGUAAUUUGACAAGUAAUAACUCCAAAAAAAUCUACGGAAGUUACUGCUGCACACAGGUGAAUGGAAAACGUCGUCAAGUUAGAAAAAAAACGUGCCGGUAGGGAAUUUUCAUGAUAUGUUUAAUUACUGUUUUAGCUACUUUACGUAAUGUUUUUGGCACGUAUGUCUAAUUAUUAGCAUAAUAAACACUAUUUUAAGGGUUUAUUAAAGUUUUUGUGUAGAAAUCUUAGAUAAUUAAGUGGACUAAUACUAGCAUAACAAUUUUGUAAGAUUUUGGUUUUCGUCCACGUGGACGGAAACCCUGACACCUAGUUAAUAUUUUUAAUAAUCAUUUUACUUCAAUGGACCUACAAAAUACAAUGUUUUUUCUUCCAAUAUGACCUUUAUUGCUAUUACAUUAAACAUUUUAGUUUACGUCCACUUUUUAACAGUGAUAAACCCAUAAAAACCGUUAAAAAGAUGUGGACGAAAACAAAAAACAGCUUUAAACGUUGUUGUGUUUUCGUCCAUGACGUCAUGAGCAAGCACUGGGGUGGACGAAAACCAAAAUUAGCUAUUCCUGUAGAUUCGUUUUCGUCCAUUUAUCCUUCGACCUAUUGCAAUAUUAUCCUAAAUUUAGGUAAGAAACUUAUUUAAAUCUUUUUGAUAUCAUUUGAAAGCUAGCAAAAUUACCUUUCAAAUGAUAUACCACAAUCCAUAGUUACUAUAUUGUAGAAUUGGUUUUAAGUUAAUAAUUCAACUGCACCCUUUUUUCUACACAGUGGUCGAAAACUAGCGUACACUAGGACGAAAACUGAUUUUUUUGGACGAAAACUAGUGAAAUCGCCUCUUUUGCAUAAAAUAUUUUUUAUAAAAAAACCCGUGGUAUUUACUUAUUGUCAUAUAAUAUUAACGUAAAGUAGACUAUACAAGGACUAAAAUGACAUAUGAUACAUAUGAGUAAGGGUAUUUUAAGAUAUUCAUUUCGCAUCACAAAGUUGGCAACUCCGAUAAUUGGACGAAAACUAACGCACUUACCCUAUCAUUAGACACAGAAAUCCAGAUGUUAAGCACAGUUCAAAUAAAAGGUAUAGAAUGACAGGUUAUAAAUCACAAACACUAGCAAAACAAUUGUCAGAAAAAAGUGCAAUUGAAGUAAGAAAUUCACUAGCGAAUGAUACUAUAUGUCAAACCAACUCUGACUCGCCUUAUUUUUUGCCAAGUGUAAAUGCACUAAGACAGUUGAAAAAAAGAGAUAAAUCACAGAGCUUAUUUCACGAUAAUGUUUUACUGUCGUUAUGGAUAAUGAGUGAGACACCUCCUUUCAAACAUUUUAUAAAAUAUAUAUCAUUGUGCCCAUUUAUUUUAUAUUAUUGGAACAAUUUACAAAUAACUUUUUUUUUAAAAUAUUUAGAACAAGUGAAUAGAAUUGUUAUUUCUUUAGAUGCUACUGGAUCGAUAUUCAAAAUGUUACGUCCACCACAAGUUAAUGAUUUUAUUAAAAAUAUGAAGAAAAAACAUUUGUUCUUAUAUAUAAUUAUGGCAUAUAAUGAUUUUGGCAGCAGUGUACCACUCUGCCAAAUGAUUUCUACGUCUCAUACGGCGGAAACAAUAGCAACUUGGCUGCAAACGUGGAAAAAAAGUCUACCAAAAUACCCUGACGAAAUUGUGACAGAUGAUUCAAGUGCCCUGAUAAAAGCCUUAGUGGAGACAUUCACACAAUUUACAAGUACUGAACAUUAUUUGCAAAAUUGUUUCAAAAUUUUAGAAGGCGUAAUAGAUGCAGAAUUUCCAAAAUCAUUUUUGCGACUGGACACCUCUCAUUUUAUCAAAACUUUACACGAUCAAAAGAUUUUUGAUACCGUUGAAACACAUGUUAAGUACUUUUAUAUCAAAUGUAUAAUUUCAAUUAAAAACAGCUCAGAAUAUAAAGUAGUGAAAAAGAUUUUAACCAGCAUUAUUAUCAUUGCGUUGAACAAUUUCGAAAGCAAUCGAUGUCAAAAAGCUAUUGAGACCUUAAACCAAAUACAUGAUUCCGAAAAACAUGAUAUAAUUAUCGACUCAACUCCAUCAGAUAUAAUUAAUAACAAUGAAGAUGACGAAAUAAAUUCAGAAUCCUUAUUAGACUUAUGGUUUUUAGACGAGGUUGCCAAAGAAAAACUUUAUAUCGAUCUAACAGAAGACAAAGACAGCAAACAUCCCAAUCCAUACUUUUUCCCUGAUUUAAUAAAAUUACUGACGCGUUUAUUAAAAAAGUUGCCCAUGUGGUCAAAUGUUUUGAUAAAACACUUCAAUUCCAAUAAAACAAGACCGUCAUCUAGCAAUUCAGAAAGCUAUUUCAAAAAUAUCAAAUGUUUGCUUUUAAAUAAUAACCGCGUACGAAUCGAUUUAUUUCUGAUGCGACAUUUUAAUUAUAUUUCCGGUGAAGUAAAGCUAGCGUUAACAAAUAUGAACAAAAAAAAUAUUCCAAAAAUAAGUAGUUCUUUUGAACCUAAAAGCAAAACGACAGCACGAUCUCGCCAAAAAAAAAGAAAAAACACAGACCGCGAUUCGUUUUCACAAGAUUCAAUUUUUUCAAAUAAGCCAUCAUAUAUAGAAAACUGGAGAGGGUACGCAAAAAAAAAGUGUAAAACUAUAAAACGAAUAAAAGAAAAUGAAAAAGAAAAAGAAAAUGACAUUAUUGAUUAUUUAUUACCAGAAAUUUUCAUUGAAACCCCUAAACAACAUGAAAGCCAGUUCGAAGAAAAAGAAAUAUCAAUGUCAUUAAAACCUCACGAUAUAACUUUACUGAAGAAUGGCUCCAACAUUAGCGGUUCUUUUUGUAUAUAUAACACUUGUGCGUUUGACAGUGUUGCUCAUCUGUUUGCAGUAAUAUGCACUAUAAAGAAAAAUAUACUACAGGUUUUUAAAAGUAGUAGUGACCUUUUUUCUAAUUUAAUUAUUUCUUUGAUUUUAAAUCGGCCGGACAUUGAAGAUAUUAGGAAUAAUCUAUUAAACUUACACUUCAAAUUUGAAUCUUCAACAGUAAACUGUGAAUGCAACGUAACUUACAUCAUAGAUAAAUAUCUUAGUUACAGCUAUUGUAAAACGACAUGGACAAAAAACUGUACAGAUUUUCUGUGCACUGUAAACAACUCGAGUAUUAUAGCCCGACCAGGAACAUAAAAACCCUCGCCAUGUUGCGGAAAACUAAUGGUACUAAUUUCUUUUAAUGGCAACAGUAACUGAAAACUUCAUUGACAUGUCACCCUGCAUGUCAGUCUAUUGCUGUCAAAGUGUAAACAAACUUUAAUAAAAAUGUGCGCAAUUGAUUUUGUGAAUUAAAUUGCUAAAAUCUUUUUAUAGUCGUGAAAGAAAAGUGGUUCACAAUGUGUUAAAGUAUUUGUCGAAGAGAAAUAUUAAGGGUUCGGACAAUAUUUUCAUUGAAUAAUGUUUCCGACAAAGGUUGUCAAAUUGACUGACAUGUUUAUCGUAUAGUACAGUCCACUAUGAAAAUUAGCUGUGGUUUGUUUCAACUACCUAUUUUAAAAUUUUUUGUCACUUUCGUGUUGAAUUUUAUGGAAUUGGGAAAGAAGUACCGAGUUUGAAGCGUUCAUGAGCAGACAUUGCAGUUGAAUAUUCAAGUUCUGAAUUUGAUUAUUGAUGAAUAAUAAAAUAAAUCCUACCAGCUCGAUUGA